UACGUAGGGGGCAAGCGUUGUCCGGAAUUAUUGGGCGUAAAGAGCUCGUAGGCGGUGUGUCGCGUCGGCCGUGAAAACCUGCAGCUUAACUGUGGGCUUGCGGUCGAUACGGGCAUCACUGGAGUUCGGCAGGGGAGACUGGAAUUCCUGGUGUAGCGGUGAAAUGCGCAGAUAUCAGGAGGAACACCGGUGGCGAAGGCGGGUCUCUGGGCCGAUACUGACGCUGAGGAGCGAAAGCGUGGGGAGCAAACAGG
rnacentral:rRNA from 1 species